GAGUUUGAUCCUGGCUCAGGAUGAACGCUAGCGGCAGGCCUAACACAUGCAAGUCGAGGGGUAGAAAUAGCUUGCUAUUUUGAGACCGGCGGAUGGGUGCGUAACGCGUAUGCAAUCUACCUUGUACAUUGGGAUAGCCCGGAGAAAUCCGGAUUAAUACCUUAUAGUUUUAUUGAUUGGCAUCAAUUAAUAAGUAAAGAUCCAACGGUACAAGAUGAGCAUGCGUCCCAUUAGUUAGUUGGUGAGGUAACGGCUCACCAAGACUACGAUGUCUAGGGGUUCUGAGAGGGAGAUCCCCCACACUGGUACUGAGACACGGACCAGACUCCUACGGGAGGCAGCAGUGAGGAAUAUUGGUCAAUGGGCGCAAGCCUGAACCAGCCAUGCCGCGUGCAGGAUUAAGGUCUUAUGGAUUGUAAACUGCUUUUAUACUGGAAGAAACCCUCCUACGUGUAGGAGCUUGACGGUACAGUAAGAAUAAGCACCGGCUAACUCCGUGCCAGCAGCCGCGGUAAUACGGAGGGUGCAAGCGUUAUCCGGAAUUAUUGGGUUUAAAGGGUUCGUAGGCGGACAUUUAAGUCAGAGGUGAAAGUUUGCGGCUCAACCGUAAAAUUGCCUUUGAUACUGGUUAUCUUGAGUUAUUGUGAAGUAGUUAGAAUAUGUAGUGUAGCGGUGAAAUGCAUAGAUAUUACAUAGAAUACAAAUUGCGAAGGCAGAUUACUAACAAUAUACUGACACUGAUGGACGAAAGCGUGGGUAGCGAACAGGAUUAGAUACCCUGGUAGUCCACGCCGUAAACGAUGGAUACUAGCUGUUCGAUCUUCGGAUUGAGUGGCUAAGCGAAAGUGAUAUGUAUCCCACCUGGGGAGUACGUUCGCAAGAAUGAAACUCAAAGGAAUUGACGGGGGCCCGCACAAGCGGUGGAGCAUGUGGUUUAAUUCGAUGAUACGCGAGGAACCUUACCAGGGCUUAAAUGUAGAUUGACAGCACUAGAGAUAGUUUUUUCUUCGGACUCAUUACAAGGUGCUGCAUGGUUGUCGUCAGCUCGUGCCGUGAGGUGUCAGGUUAAGUCCUAUAACGAGCGCAACCCCUGUUGUUAGUUGCCAGCGAGUCAUGUCGGGAACUCUAACAAGACUGCCGGUGCAAACCGUGAGGAAGGUGGGGAUGACGUCAAAUCAUCACGGCCCUUACGUCCUGGGCUACACACGUGCUACAAUGGCCGAUACAGAGGGCAGCCACUACGCGAGUAGGAGCGAAUCCUUAAAAUCGGUCUCAGUUCGGAUCGGAGUCUGCAACUCGACUCCGGGAAGCUGGAAUCGCUAGUAAUCGGAUAUCAGCCAUGAUCCGGUGAAUACGUUCCCGGGCCUUGUACACA
rnacentral:rRNA from 1 species